UCGAGCGGACCGACGGGAGCUUGCUCCCUUAGGUCAGCGGCGGACGGGUGAGUAACACGUGGGUAACCUGCCUGUAAGACUGGGAUAACUCCGGGAAACCGGGGCUAAUACCGGAUGCUUGAUUGAACCGCAGGUUCAAUCAUAAAAGGUGGCUUUUAGCUACCACUUACAGAUGGACCCGCGGCGCAUAGCUAGUUGGUGAGGUAACGGCUCACCAAGGCGACGAUGCGUAGCCGACCUGAGAGGGUGAUCGGCCACACUGGGACUGAGACACGGCCCAGACUCCUACGGGAGGCAGCAGUAGGGAAUCUUCCGCAAUGGACGAAAGUCUGACGGAGCAACGCCGCGUGAGUGAUGAAGGUUUUCGGAUCGUAAAACUCUGUUGUUAGGGAAGAACAAGUACCGUUCGAAUAGGGCGGUACCUUGACGGUACCUAACCAGAAAGCCACGGCUAACUACGUGCCA
rnacentral:rRNA from 1 species